AUUGAACGCUGGCGGCAUGCCUUACACAUGCAAGUCGAACGGUAACAGGUCUUCGGAUGCUGACGAGUGGCGAACGGGUGAGUAAUACAUCGGGACGUGCCUAGUAGUGGGGGAUAACUACUCGAAAGAGUGGCUAAUACCGCAUGAGAUCUACGGAUGAAAGCAGGGGAUCGCAAGACCUUGUGCUACUAGAGCGGCCGAUGGCAGAUUAGGUAGUUGGUGGGAUAAAAGCUUACCAAGCCGACGAUCUGUAGCUGGUCUGAGAGGACGAUCAGCCACGCUGGGACUGAGACACGGCCCAGACUCGUACGGGAGGCAGCAGUGGGGAAUUUUGGACAAUGGGCGCAAGCCUGAUCCAGCAAUGCCGCGUGCAGGAUGAAGGCCUUCGGGUUGUAAACUGCUCUUGUACGGAACGAAAAGCCCCGGGUUAAUACCCUGGGGUCAUGACGGUACCGUAAGAAUAAGCACCGGCUAACUACGUGCCAGCAGCCGCGGUAA
rnacentral:rRNA from 1 species